rnacentral:rRNA from 1 species
GUUGAACGCUGGCGGCAUGCCUUACACAUGCAAGUCGAACGGCAGCACGGGGGCAACCCUGGUGGCGAGUGGCGAACGGGUGAGUAAUGCAUCGGAACGUGCCCAGUAGUGGGGGAUAACCAGUCGAAAGACUGGCUAAUACCGCAUACGACCCAAGGGUGAAAGGGGGGGACCGUAAGGCCUCGCGCUAUUGGAGCGGCCGAUGUCUGAUUAGCUCGUUGGCGGAGUAAGAGCCCACCAAGGCGACGAUCAGUAGCUGGUCUGAGAGGACGACCAGCCACACUGGGACUGAGACCCGGCCCAGACUCCUACGGGAGGCAGCAGUGGGGAAUUUUGGACAAUGGGCGCAAGCCUGAUCCGGCCAUGCCGCGUGCGGGAAGAAGGCCUUCGGGUUGUAAACCGCUUUUGGCAGGAACGAAACGGCGCAGGCCAAUACCUUGCGCUAAUGACGGUACCUGCAGAAUAAGCACCGGCUAACUACGUGCCAGCAGCCGCAGUAACAC